rnacentral:rRNA from 1 species
GACGAACGCUGGCGGCGUGCCUAAUACAUGCAAGUCGAGCGGAAGUUGAAGAGCUUGCUCUUCAACUUUAGCGGCGGACGGGUGAGUAACACGUGGGCAACCUGCCCUGCAGAUCGGGAUAACUCCGGGAAACCGGUGCUAAUACCGAAUAGUUUUCGCCACCUCCUGGUGGCGUACGGAAAGACGGUUUCGGCUGUCACUGCAGGAUGGGCCCGCGGCGCAUUAGCUAGUUGGUGGGGUAACGGCCCACCAAGGCAACGAUGCGUAGCCGACCGGAGAGGGUGAUCGGCCACACGGGGACUGAGACACGGCCCAGACUCCGACGGGAGGCAGCAGUAGGGAAUCUUCCGCAAUGGACGAAAGUCUGCCGGAGCAACGCCGCGUGAGUGACGAAGGUUUUCGGAUCGUAAAACUCUGUUGUGAGGGAAGAACAAGUACCACUUAACUACUGGUACCUUGACGGUACCUCACCAGAAAGCCACGGCUAACUACGUGCCAGCAGCCGCCGUAACAC